rnacentral:rRNA from 1 species
CCUACGGGUGGCACCAGUAGGGAAUCUUCGGCAAUGGACGAAAGUCUGACCGAGCAACGCCGCGUGAGUGAAGAAGGGUUUCGGAUUGUAAAACUCUGUUGCUAGAGAAGAACAAGUAGGAGAGUAACUGCUCUUACCUUGACGGUAUCUAACCAGAAAGCCACGGCUAACUACGUGCCAGCAGCCGCGGUAAUACGAAGGUGGCAAGCGGUGUCCGGAUUUAUUGGGCGUAAAGCGAGCGCAGGCGGUCUUUUAAGUCUGAUGUGAAAGCCCUCGGCUCAACCGAGGAAGGUCAUUGGAAACUGGAGGACUUGAGUGCAGAAGAGGAGAGUGGAAUUCCAUGUGUAGCGGUGAAAUGCGUAGAUAUAUGGAGGAACACCAGUGGCGAAGGCGACUCUCUGGUCUGUAACUGACGCUGAGGCUCGAAAGCGUGGGGAGCAAACAGGAUUAGAUACCCCCGUAGUC